rnacentral:rRNA from 1 species
GACGUAGGGCGCGAGCGUUGUCCGGAUUUAUUGGGCGUAAAGAGCUCGUAGGCGGCUUGUCGCGUCGAAUGUGAAAACUCGGGGCUCAACUCCGAGCUUGCAUUCGAUACGGGCAGGCUAGAGUUCGGUAGGGGAGACUGGAAUUCCUGGUGUAGCGGUGAAAUGCGCAGAUAUCAGGAGGAACACCGGUGGCGAAGGCGGGUCUCUGGGCCGAUACUGACGCUGAGGAGCGAAAGCGUGGGGAGCGAACAGA